UCUCGUUGAGGGGGGGUAGAAUUCCAGGUGUAGCGGUGAAAUUGCGUAGAGAUCUGGAGGAAUACCGGUGGCGAAGGCGGCUCCCUGGACGAAGACUGACGUUCAGGUGCGAAAGCGUGGGAGCAAACAGGAUUAGAUACCCUGGUAGUCCACGCCGUAAACGAUGUCGACUUGGAGGUUGUGCCCUUGAGGCGUGGCUUCCGGAGCUAACGCGUUAAGUCGACCGCCUGGGGAGUACGGCCGCAAGGUUAAAACUCAAAUGAAUUGACGGGGGCCCGCACAAGCGGUGGAGCAUGUGGUUUAAUUCGAUGCAACGCGAAGAACCUUACCUGGUCUUGACAUCCACGGAAGUUUUCAGAGAUGAGAAUGUGCCUUCGGGAACCGUGAGACAGGUGCUGCAUGGCUGUCGUCAGCUCGUGUUGUGAAAUGUUGGGUUAAGUCCCGCAACGAGCGCAACCCUUAUCCUUUGUUGCCAGCGGUCCGGCCGGGAACUCAAAGGAGACUGCCAGUGAUAAACUGGAGGAAGGUGGGGAUGACGUCAAGUCAUCAUGGCCCUUACGACCAGGGCUACACACGUGCUACAAUGGCGCAUACAAAGAGAAGCGACCUCGCGAGAGCAAGCGGACCUCAUAAAGUGCGUCGUAGUCCGGAUUGGAGUCUGCAACUCGACUCCAUGAAGUCGGAAUCGCUAGUAAUCGUGGAUCAGAAUGCCACGGUGAAUACGUUCCCGGGCCUUGUACACACCGCCCGUCACACCAUGGGAGUGGGUGCAAAAGAA
rnacentral:rRNA from 1 species